CCCUCUCAAAGAAAUAAAUUAUAUUAUAUACUACAUACAUCACGUGAUCAUAUAUGCCAUCGAUCAUAACCGCAUGUUUCUAAAUUGAACCAACUCAAUGAAAAAAAAUAAAGUGAUAGUGGUCCUAUCCCUCUCUAAGAAACAAUUAUAUCCUACACAUUAUGCAUGACAUAGUUGCACAUGUCACCAAUCACAGCCUCUUAUUUCUAUGAAUCUCAUUCAUCAAAUACUGUGGGAACAAGCAGUUGUGAUUGACCACAUGCACAGUCAUGUGAUGCAUGCUGCAUAAGAUAUAAUUUCUUCUCUAAAA
rnacentral:lncRNA from 1 species